AUGGCGAUGGCGAAGGCCAAAUCCACCGCCCUCUCCGCCGCCGAAAAGUGCCGGAACAUCCUGGGCGCCAGUUGGGAAGCCCACCUCAACACCAUCAAAGCCGACGCCAAGGGAAGCAAGGGGGACGUUUACACGUCCAGGGUGCACUACAUGGUCCAAAAGGGCAUGCCCUACCUGAUCGUCCCCGAGAACGACAUGCACAACAUUAACAUUAUAAUCGACGAGCGGGGUUCUCUCUCGGUGUCCAGUCCAGUCCCAGGUCGCCUUGCCAGCUUGCUCAAGUCAAUCAACAAGUUGCCUCCCCGGGUUGCUAUGACCGGCGAUGUCCUGCGCAUGAAGGAGACAAAGAUUCCAGUUAUAGCUGAAAGCUUUAAGAAAGCUAUUCUGAAGGAACAUAAAGCUGCUAGCGAAGCUACUUAUGGGGUAUCAACGGUAUUGUCUUCCGCAAGUGCUACUUGUAGGUCGCGCAGCGAAGGUCUCCUUAGCUUACUCAAUGAAGAGAGCUCCUACAAUAUCUUGAAGUUUGAAAUUGGCUCGUGUGUCUUCAUAGAUUCAUUGGGGAGCAGCCAUAAUAUUGAGUUGGAUACUUUUGAACCACCAAAAGCCGACCUGCUAUUGCCAUUCUCUGCGAAGCUUAUUGAUGGUAUCAAUAGGAGUGACCCAAGGCGGAGAGCACUUAUACUUUUCUGUUUCGAGUAUUUUGAUGUGACUGCCAGAGAUGCAGUCUUGCUCUCCGUUGAUCACCAUGGAUUUGAGGUGCUCGCCAGGGUUCCUGAAAGAGCUACCGCACCUGAUGUCCCUCAGCAGUACCACUGGAAAGAGUUCAGGUUCACAUUCAAGGAAGCAGUCAAGGAUGUCGAGGACUUCUGCCGCAUGUUGGUCGAGCUAGAAGAAGAAGCUCUGCACAGCGUAAAGAGCUAUAGCGGAUUAGGUUGA
rnacentral:rRNA from 1 species